CAACUACUCCCUCUAUCCCAAAUUUCUUGUCUUAGAUUUGUCUAGAUACGGAUGUAUCUAAUACUAAAAUGUGACUUGAUACAUUCGUAUCUAGACAAAUCUAAGACAAGAAUUUUGGG
rnacentral:pre_miRNA from 1 species